CUGGAGCUGGGCCAGGGCUGCUGCCGCUUCGCUCUGCCGGUGAUUGAAGUAGUUGGGCAGGGCGAUGGCGCUGAGAAUGCCCACGAUCACCACGGUGAUCAGCACUUCGGUGAGGGUGAAAGCCUCGGCUCUGGC
rnacentral:tRNA from 1 species